rnacentral:rRNA from 1 species
CCUACGGGAGGCUGCAGUCGAGAAUCAUUCACAAUGGGGGAAACCCUGAUGGUGCGACGCCGCGUGAGGGAAGACGGUUUUCGGAUUGUAAACCUCUGUCCUCUGUGAAGAUGAUGACGGUAGCAGAGGAGGAAGCUCCGGCUAACUACGUGCCAGCAGCCGCGGUAAUACGUAGGGAGCGAGCGUUGUCCGGAUUUACUGGGUGUAAAGGGUGCGUAGGCGGCUUGGCAAGUCAGUAGUGAAAUCCAUGGGCUUAACCCAUGAACUGCUAUUGAAACUGUCGAGCUUGAGUGAAGUAGAGGUAGGCGGAAUUCCCGGUGUAGCGGUGAAAUGCGUAGAGAGCGGGAGGAACACCAGUGGCGAAGGCGGCCUACUGGGCUUUAACUGACGCUGAGGCACGAAGGCCAGGGGAGCGAAAGGGAUUAGAUACCCCGGUAGUC